GAUCCUGGCUCAGGAUGAACGCUAGCGACAGGCUUAACACAUGCAAGUCGAGGGGCGAGCAUGAACUUAGCUUGCUAAGUUUGAUGGCGACCGGCGCACGGGUGAGUAACGCGUAUGCAACUUGCCUAUCAGAGGAGAAUAGCUCAUCGAAAGAUGAAUUAAUGCUCCAUGAAACAGGGGUCCCGCAUGGGAAUAUUUGUUAAAGAUUCAUCGCUGAUAGGUAGG
rnacentral:rRNA from 1 species